ACAGGACAUGAGGUUCCAGCCUGGAGUUUUUCACAGAUGCAGGACUGAUCCAACAGACUUAAUAAAGCAGCAGUCACCUUCUUAUUGAAUUGAAUGGAAUGAGAACUUUCCUGAGCCUUCACCCCAAACUCUGACCUUGAAAUUCAAAGAGGAUUUCUUAAUCUUGGACUUUUUUGCAUGCAUCUUGGUGCAUCUUCUGCUGGGGAAAAGCCAGGACAUAUCCCAUGGCAUGUCUGGCCCUGCUGAAACCAGGACAGACCAGAGCUGUAGCUCUAUCCAAAUAAAGCUUCUGCUGACCUGACCCAAAAGUUUGCUGCGUGUGUUUUCCAUGACAAUUCCUGGUGCCAUUGGACUCGGAUCCACAACACGGAUUGAGGAAGGAGGACCGCAGACUGCUUCCCCCGAACCCCGUGGCACCAAAUUUAAGAGCAAACCAGUCUCCUCUGGCUAGCCUCUCAAACCUAACCUUUCUUCAAGAUCAGGCCACAAAAAGGAAAAUGAUAGCUGGCUGCCUGUAGGGUGUUCACUGCACCCUGACUCUCUCUGGCGCUCCCUGGACGGCCACCUGGUAGCACCUAAAGUACUUUUGCCAUACCUUGCUCAUCUGACUCAUUCAGAAGCCCAUACCAGCAAGAAGGCAUAAUUACUGUAGUACAAAAAAAUUAGUUUACCCCAAAUUUUCCUUCCAUGGCACAACAGUACUGCAGCUCCUGUCCCAUCUGUUUAGCUCACAACAUUGGGCAACGGGUAAAAACAACACCCGCAGCCCAUCCCCCUCCAUGGAGACCAUUUGUAAACUUGCAAAUUGAUUUCAUGCAGCUACCAAAGUGCUGCUCUUAUGAGUACAUUCUUGUUAUUAUUGAUAUGUCCUCUAGAUGGGUAGAAGCCUACUCAAGCAUACAUGCUGAUUCCAUCACUGUAGCAAAAAAUUGCUCGACAGAGGCACCCAUUUCACAGGACAGAUAGUAAAAAACAUCUGCCAAGCACUCAACAUAUAGUAACACCUACACUGCAGUUAUCAUCCACAGUCAAGUGGUGCUGUAGAACGUAAAAACUCAGAUUUGAAAAUGCUCAUUUCAAAGAUCUGCGCUGAAACAGGUCUCAAAUGGCCUGAUGCACUGCCCGUUGCUCUUAUGCACGUUAGAAACACCGUCAACAGAAAACAUGGUUUAACCCCUUAUAAAAUACUCAUAACACAACCCAUGAGAAUGCCGACUACACCACCUGUAGCCCCACACCAAGCAGACCUACAAUUAACUAAUAAACCUGUGCUAAAUUAUUGCAAAGCAUUAAUGAAGUAUGCUAAGUCUGUUCAUUCCCAGGUCCAAGAAGCUUUACCUCAACCACCGAAUGUUCCUUGUCACAACCUUAAGCCAGGAGAUUGAAUCUAUGUAAAGGUUCAUCAACAGAAAACCGCACUUCAACCCAGAUGAAAAGGACCCUUUCAAGUGCUUCUGACCACUAACACUGCUGUUCAUUGCCAAGGUCACCAGACGUAGACUCACACCUCGCACUGCAAGAAGGUAUUACCACCAUUGGACCCCGAAGCAGCUGUAUGCCAACCAAGAUUGAAACCUUUCCCUGAGGCCAAAGACAAAAACCCUCAGGACCUCACUCAAGCAAGUGAGGAGUAUCAAGGCGCAAGUAAUAGUGAUCUCAUUGAUGAACCUAACACCCUGAUCCAACUGACUCUAUCAGUUGGAGAGCCAAGGUAUCUUCUGCAUCCUCGGAAGACAUAAAUGUUUCCAUUUAGAAGAUCCCCACCUCGACCCAGACCCAGAGCCGAAGAUAUCAGCCCUCUAGGCAACCUAAGCUCAGAAAACGAGAAGAAACUUUAGUUGCCCUCUUGGGUGUGGUUAGUAGUAGGAUUUGUCCUACUAGUGUAAGUAUUAUUGGUUGUUAAAAUAUUUUGUCCUUUCUGUUUUUGAGACUGAAUCAUUGCUGUUAACAUCAAGGUGAACAAAAAGACAACGAAAACCUGAAAAAUUGCCUGCAGAGGCAAGCUAAACAAUACCUGCCAACAUGUUUUGUAUAAUAAGACUGUUCAUAUUACUCUUUAGCCUUGCCAUUGCCAGUUUAUUAUAAUGUUUAUUUGCACUUCCUACAAAGGGUAGCUGUAGCCUUAAAUGCUUCUGACUGCUGAAUUUGUGGACUCACCCCCAGAACCCAUGAUAACGAAUUUUUACAAAAGUUAAUGAAAAUAGAAGUGUGAGACUGUUAAGUCUCAAAGCGGGGAGUGUGGUAUAAAAAAAGCAAAGGCCUUAAACUUUGAUCAAAAAAAAAGGUUGUAAAGAUAAAACAAAAAGCGUUGUGUAAAAGUGUGGGCUAGGAAAAGAGGAAGAAUGUCUGGCCUUGUACUAAUCAGCCGUUACUGAGACAGCAAGAAAAGAGUGUUUUGUAAUAAAGAAAUGAAAAUAAUGUUUUUGUAACUGUUACUGCAGCUAGGUUUCUAAAAAUGUCACUAUAUGUUCACGUGAAUUGUAGGUGGCUGUUAAAAAGGUAUAUAAGCCUUUUGCUUUAACGUUUAGGGAGGGAGCCCCCUCCAAGUGCAUGGUGAAGCCAUGUCACUUUGGGGCCCCUCCUACAGCUGUAGCGCUAUCCAAAUAAAGCUUCUGCUGACCUGA